rnacentral:rRNA from 1 species
UCUAGAGAUUCCUACGGGAGGCAGCAGUGGGGAAUAUUGCACAAUGGGCGCAAGCCUGAUGCAGCCAUGCCGCGUGUGUGAAGAAGGCCUUCGGGUUGUAAAGCACUUUCAGCCGUGAGGAAGGCAUUGUACUUAAUACGUGCAGUGUUCGACGUUAGCGGCAGAAGAAGCACCGGCUAACUCCGUG